GAUGAAGAACGUAGCGAAAUGCGAUAAGUAAUGCGAAUUGCAGAAUCCGUGAGUCAUCGAAUCUUUGAACGCACAUUGCGCCCUCUGGUAUUCCGGGGGGCAUGCCUGUUCGAGCGUCAUUAUCCAUCCCUCAAACCUCGUGUUUGAUGUCGGGCUUUUCUGAACCGUCACAAGUUUAGAUGCCUCAAAGGUAAUGACGGCGUCCUCGUGGGACUCGACGCACUGAGCUUUUUUGCAAAGGCACGCGUUGUAGGAUCGCGGGUGACCCGGUCUAACUCUUAAAAAAAUUUUUACAAGGUUGACCUCGGAUCAGGUAGGGAUACCCGCUGAACUUAAGCAUAUCAAUAAGCGGAGGA
rnacentral:misc_RNA from 1 species